rnacentral:rRNA from 1 species
CAUGUAGGGCGCAAGCGUUGUCCGGAAUUAUUGGGCGUAAAGAGCUCGUAGGCGGUCUGUUGCGUCUGCUGUGAAAACCCGGGGCUUAACCCCUGGCUUGCAGUGGAUACGGACAGACUAGAGGUAGGUAGGGGAGAAUGGAAUUCCCGGUGUAGCGGUGAAAUGCGCAGAUAUCGGGAGGAACACCGGUGGCGAAGGCGGUUCUCUGGGCCUUACCUGACGCUGAGGAGCGAAAGCGUGGGGAGCGAACAGG